rnacentral:rRNA from 1 species
AUGUUGCUACGUUCCAUGUCUCAUUCACUUGUACAUGUUGCAGCGCCAGGGCCAAAAGUUAAGGCGGCUAUCAAACCUUUUCGGUUGUCGUGGCCCGAGUAUGUAUCACCAGAACGGUCUAGGUCGGCGACACCAUCAGAUCCCGCUUCGGGGCAGGGCCAUGGUGAACCUUUCGCGGAUGAGGAUGUGGGUGUGGUCACCCAAGAGGUUGCUGAUGAUAUGACCGUGGGGACGUACCAGGCUCGGUCUGCAUACGAGUUGAAACCUAGGAAGGGAAUCAACAAGUACACACCUGAAGACUUCACCCAAAGAGGCCAAAGAGGCAAAAGGACGGUCGGCACCUCGCGGAUGGCGGCUUUGGAUGACUAUUUGGAUGACAAUGUAGAUGACGUGGAGGAACCGGAGCCGGAGCCGGAGCGGGUUCCUCUUCCUAGGAAGGUGAAGAAGAUAAGCGUCAAGAGGGGGGAGGAGCCAGCAAGCGCGGAAAGCACUAGUCAUCGUCCUUUAUUUAUAAUGUUGAACUUAGAGUGGAAUUUGUUAUGUCAUUGA